rnacentral:rRNA from 1 species
GACGAACGCUGGCGGCGUGCUUAACACAUGCAAGUCGAACGGAGUGGCGAACGGGUGAGUAACACGUGGGUGAUCUGCCUUGCACUUCGGGAUAAGCUUGGGAAACUGGGUCUAAUACCGGAUAGUGCAAGAUGAGCUGGCGGCCUAUCAGCUUGUUGGUGGGGUAAGGGCCUACCAAGGCGUGGACGGGUAGCCGGCCUGAGCGGGUGUACGGCCACAUGGGGACUGGGAGACGGCCCAGACGCCAACGGGAGGCAGUAGUGGGGAAGAUUGCACAGUGGGCGGAGGCCUGAGGCAGAGACGCCGGGUGGGGGAGGAAGGUGUGCGUGUUGUAAACUCCUUUCGACAGGGCCGCGGUACCUGAAUAGGAAGCACCGGCUAACUACGUGCCAGCAGCCGCGGUAAUUC